rnacentral:ncRNA from 1 species
AGGGAAGUCGGCAUAUUUGAUCCGUAACCUCGGAAAUAGGAAAAGUUCUGAGCGCCGAUUCAGACACGCUGGGCAAAGAUUCGUGUCUGCAUAGUCUGCUACUGGCUAGUCGACUAGCUGGACUGUGGCCACAACUGCUGCUGCUGGGUUUACGCUGCCGCUUCCUUUGUGUGCCUGUUUGUGUACUGCAUGCUGCGUGCGUGCGACUUUAAAAGUAUGGCGUGGUCGGGCAACUGGCCGCGUAGCACGGUGCACGUGUGCGUGCAUGCACCUGGUCGUGGUGGGUGACUUUACGGCGUGGUUUGAACUUAACUGGUGGUCUAACUGGCUGGGAGUGGGCAGAGGGGAUUGUGGGCAGGUCCACUUAGGCCUGUCCCUUGAUUUGCGCUGCUUGUUGUUGCCGCUGCUAUUGUCGCGGUUUCGUCCACGAUGGUGGUUGCGAAAGCGGCUGUUGUGUAGCCUUGGGGCACUUUUCUGACGUCAAACGGCCGAAUGAGAACUUGCACGGUCUCGAGAAAUCUGACUGUCUUGUUUAAACAAAGCAUUGCGAUGUCUGCUGAUCGGUUUUGACAAAGUGAUUUCUGCCCAGUGCUCUGAAUUUCAAAGUGAAGAAAUUCAAACAUGCGUUGGUAAACGGCGGGAGUUACUAUGAAUCUUUUAAAGGGAAGAGUCAGCGUUCCCCUUUCCU